GUGAGGAAUAUUGGUCAAUGGGCGAGAGCCUGAACCAGCCAAGUCGCGUGAAGGAUGAAGGUUUUAUGAAUUGUAAACUUCUUUUGCAGGGGAAUAAAGUACGGUACGUGUACCGUUUUGUAUGUACUCUGCGAAUAAGGAUCGGCUAACUCCGUGCCAGCAGCCGCGGUAAUACGGAGGAUCCGAGCGUUAUCCGGAUUUAUUGGGUUUAAAGGGUGCGUAGGUGGUUUGAUAAGUCAGCGGUGAAAGUUUGCAGCUUAACUGUAAAAAUGCCGUUGAAACUGUCGGACUUGAGUGUAAAUGAGGUAGGCGGAAUGCGUGGUGUAGCGGUGAAAUGCAUAGAUAUCACGCAGAACUCCGAUUGCGAAGGCAGCUUACUAAGCUACAACUGACACUGAAGCACGAAAGCGUGGGGAUCAAACAGGAUUAGAUACCCCAGUAGUCC
rnacentral:rRNA from 1 species